CAUGUGUGUGUAUGUAUGUUCCUAUAUUGCUCUGUCUUCAUGUAUGUGUGUGUUCCUUUAUUUCUCUCUCUCUCUCUCUCUCUCUCUCUCUCUCUCUCUGUGUGUGUGUGUGGUUUCUUUAUUGCUCUCUUCGUGUGUGUGUCCCUUUAUUGCUCUUGCUAUUUUUCUAAAACUUCAUGUUUUCCAUUCCUAUAGAGAAAUUCUUCAUAUGUUGUUUUCUGAGUUUGACACCUUCCCAGCUUCACUUGUUACUUACAUAGCCUUUACCAAUGCUCUUGUGAUUGGGACGUGGUAGUCCAGAUCUUCUUCAACCAUCAGACAGGCCGUGGCAAUGUCAUCCCAAUGCCUGCAAUCUGCAGGUCUUGGCCACACCUAUCUUGGUUUCACACUGAUGUUUACCUAUAUUAUAGUCAUAUCUGCAGCUAAUUCUGCUCCAGAGCUGUAUUUUUCGUUGUCUAUAUUCUUGUUCAUGUUUUAUUCUCUUCAUAAACCUUUCUUUCCCAUCCUCAUUUCUGUCCAUUUAAUUCUAAGUGUUCUGUAAAACACCUUUAAAAAACCCCUUUCUCUGGACUGGAGAUAUGGCUUAGUGGUUAAAAGUAUUGUCUGCUUUUCCAGAGGACCCAGGUUCCAUUCCCAGGACCCAUGUGGCAGCUCACACCUGUCUGUAACUGCUGUUCCAAGGGCUACAAUGACCUCUUCCAGCCUCUCUGGGCACUGCACAUAUGUGGUGCACGUACUUACAUGUAGGCAAACACCCAUACACAUAAAAUAAAUCUCUUUAAAAAGCCAUCUUGUCUGCAAGGGUUUCUCAAACUACCUUUUCAAUAAACAGCCCACUGUCAUUAUUUCCCUGUGAUAUAUGACUCUAUUCUAUAGCACCCUUUUGCAAAGCUGUAUGUGUCUUAUUCUAAGCCUGAAGGUGGAAGCAUCACACUCAACACUUGUUCCUAGACCCCAUCAGGGACCUUCGUACAUGACACUCAAUCAAGGGUUGCCAUAGUGAAUCAUUCAUUUUCCAGCCCUGACCUUUACAUUGUAGGAAGCCCUGCAGGACAGCCUCACCGUAAUCCUUGUCAUCUGGGUGACCUCAUGCAAUGCAUACUGCUAUAUAUAUAGAUUUCUUCCAGGUCAACCAUCUGAUGAAUGCGUGGAUCUUGAUAAUGACAAACACCCCAUCAACUCUUACUGGGAGAAGAACUGUGAGCGCUGUGUUUGUAGAAAAGACAAGAUUUCUUGCUGCAGGCUACAGAACUUACAUGGCUGAGUACUUCAAGCAAAUGGAUUGCCAGGUAAUAUUCCACCCAGGGACCUGCACCUACACUGUGGAACAGAAAGACCCACAAAAGCCCUGUUUUAACUAAGUAGACACUGUGAACAUACUUCUGCUGGGCUCAGCACUCCCAGCCUGAAGGAUAUUUGUAAGCCAGGCUAUUCUCUAGUCACUUCUCAUAAUCUGUGAUUACAUAGCCCUACCUAAUAGUGUUUUAAAAACUUGGAUUUGAAUAUGUUUAUGUUUAAAAUUUGCCAAUUAUAUUUGUGUUGAUUUGAUGCAUGUAAUAGCACAACAAAUAAACACUUAAAGGAGACAAAAAUAAACACAAGUGAUAAACAACAA